rnacentral:lncRNA from 1 species
UAGAUAUGAUCACAACUGAAUAGCAGCAGAAAAGUGAAGCAUGUUUGUGGUAAAAUAAUAUUUUACCCUUUUGAGCCCUGACCCAUCUCAAGUCAGAGAAUAAUUGGACAUGCAGCACCAGUGCAGAUGGCUGGCCCUCUGAAAGGGGCCUGACUUGCUUUGAAGACAUGUUCCAGUGAGUUACAAUGCCUUAUCACUAGGAGGGGGCAUCCAGGCAUUUCUGUUUCUGUGUUUUAUGGAACAGAUAGAAGAUAUCUGGAAAUUUGGAUAAUUAGUGACAAGAUACAGUCCAUUGUUUUGAGGAAGUCAGGAUGGGAAUUCCAGAAGCCAGUCACAUCACAUCUGCAAGAGCAAGCAAGAGUCAAGAGCAAGCAGAGAACCAAUGCAUCUUUACUUGCUCUAAGUGAGCUUUCUCCUUUCUCAUACUCUUCAGGACUACUGCCACACCUAAGGAAAGAUGUCACAACAAGCUGGGUCUUCCCACAUCAAGUAACCAUCAAGAUUAAUAUUUCUCAGACAUACCCACAGGCCAGCUUGUUCUACAUUGUCAACUCAAGUCAUCAGUUAAAACUAACCAGUACAAAGAAAAAUGCAAAUCAAAAUCCCAUAACACCUCAGAAAUAGCCACAAUGGUUCAGCUGUUUUAUUAGGGGGGUUGUAUUUUCUGGUCUUCACUGGAAGUUGACCAGAUAUUAAUGUGUAAUGCUCUGCUCUAGUAAUACUGCUUUUCUAACUACUUUGAAAUACAAGAUGUUCAGAUGUGGAGGCUUUCCCAUGGAAAGAGGGUAAGACUCUCAUUCUCAGCCCUUUCUUCCUCUCUUUAAUUUAUGGCACCCUUACCUCUCCCAUAGUCUCUUUACUGUAUUAACUUGGAUAAUAACAGUGUACUUAAUGUGUGCAAGAUGAUAUGAGGUGCAAUACAAAAAGGCAUUGCUUAUCCUGUAGGGCAGUGGCUCUCAACCUUCCUAAUGCUGUGUGACCUUUAGUACAGUUCUUCAUGUUGUGGUGAUCCACAACCAUAAAAUCAUUUCACUGUCACUUCAUAACUGUAAUUUUGCUACUGUUAUGAAUUGUAAUGUAAAUAUCUGAUAUUUCUGAUAGUCUUAGGUGACCCCCAUGGAAGUGUUGUUUAGCCCCAGGCUGAGAGUUGUGACCCACAAGUUGAGAACCACUGCUGUAGAGGAAAUGAGAUGUACAUACAAUAUGGAUUUGAUACGCAGGCUAAGGGUGCAAAUGGUCUCACUAGAAAAGCUCUCCAAAGAGAAGAGAACAGAGAACUUAAAAAAGGAAUCAUAUGUUCUGGUGACAUUUGGCAGGUGGGGAAUGACAUUUGUAGUGGUGUCAAAAUAAAGGGUUUUAUAUGUCUACCUCAAACAAUUUUUUCACAAAAGUACG